rnacentral:rRNA from 1 species
GACGAACGCUGACGGCGUGCUUAACACAUGCAAGUCGAACGAUGAAGCCGGAGCUUGCUCCGGUGGAUUAGUGGCGAACGGGUGAGUAACACGUGAGCAAUCUGCCCUUGACUCUGGGAUAACUGCGGGAAACUGUAGCUAAUACCGGAUACGACACCUUGGGGCAUCCCAGGGUGUGGAAAGAAUUUCGGUCAAGGAUGAGCUCGCGGCCUAUCAGCUAGUUGGUGAGGUAAUGGCUCACCAAGGCGACGACGGGUAGCCGGCCUGAGAGGGGAACCGGCCACACUGGAACUGAGACACGGUCCAGACUCCUACGGGAGGCAGCAGUGGGGAAUAUUGCACAAUGGGCGAAAGCCUGAUGCAGCAACGCCGCGUGAGGGAUGAAGGCCUUCGGGUUGUAAACCUCUUUUAGCAGGGAAGAAGCGAAAGUGACGGUACCUGCAGAAAAAGCACCGGCUAACUACGUGCCAGCCGCCGCGGUAA